UUCACGGUCAGGUCUGUGGCAAUCCUGUCAAAAAACAAAACAGAAAAAUUUCUAGAUUAUAAAUCAACAUGUAACCAAAGCACUCUGUGUAUAACACCAUAGUAUAGGAUGUAGUUCAGAAAAUGUCAAAGUAUAGUAUACUUUUCAAGAAUAACAUAGUAUGGCCUGUAGUUCAUAGUAUAGCAUGUCGGCAAAAAACCCCAACUGAUUAUUAUGUGGUUCAAAAAGUGCAAAAUGAUAGGAUGUUGCCUAAAAUUGUCAUGUAUGAUAUGUGGUUCAAAAAAUGUCCCACUGCAGUAUAUUGUCAAAAUAGUAUGUUUUUCAAGAAAACAUCAGAGUAUAAUAUGUCGUCUAAAAAAUGCCAUAGAAUAAUAUUUCAUUGCACAAGUAAAACUAUAGUAAUUUUUAAAACUGUUCAAAUUCUCAUAUGUUGCUAAAAAACAACAAAAAAAACUAAAGCAAAAAAAAUCAUAGUAAUAUGUCAAUUUGAAAAGCCGAUAGUAUAGUGUCGCCCAACAAACGUCAUAGUAUAGCAUGUCGCUCUAAACACGUCAUAGUAUAGCAUGUCGCUCUAAGAACGUCAUAGUACAGCAUGUCACUCUAAAAACGUCAUAGUAUAGCAUGUCAACCAAAAAACGUCAUAGUAUAGCAUGUCACUCUAAAAUUGUCAUAGUAUAGCAUGUCACUCUAAAAACGUCAUAGUAUAGCAUGUCGUCCAAAAAACGUCAUAGUAUAGCAUGUGGCUCAAAAAACGUCAUAGUGUAGCAUGUCGCUCUAAAAACGUCAUAGUAUAGCAUGUCGCUCUUGAAACGUCAUUGUAUAGCAUGUCGCUCUAAAAACGUCAUAGUAUAGCAUGUCGCCCUAAAAACGUCAUAGUAUAGCAUGUCGCUCUAAAAACGUCAUAGUAUAGCAUGUCGCUCAAAAAAUGUCAUUGUAUAGCAUGUCGCUCUAAAAAUGUCAUUGUAUAGCCUUUGGUCCAAAAAACGUCACAGCAUAGCAUGUCGUCCAAAAAACAUCACAGAAUAGCAUGUCUUCCAAAAAACGUCAGAGUAUAGCCUUUGGUCUAAAAACAUCAUAGUAUAGCAUGUCGCUCAAAAAAACGUCAUAGUGUAGCAUGUCGCUCAAAAAACGUCAUAGUAUAGCCUUUGGUCCAACAAACAUCAUAGUUUAGCAUGUUGCCCAAAAAAACGUCAUAGUAUAGCAUGUCGUCCAAAAAAACGUCAUAGUAUAGCAUGUGGCUCAAAAAACGUCAUAGUGUAGCAUGUCGCUCUAAAAAUGUCAUAGUAUAGCAUGUCGCUCAACAAACGUCAUUGUAUAGCAUGUCGUCCAAAAAACGUCAACGUAUUGCAUGUCACUCUAAAAACGUCAGAGUCUAGCAUGUCGCUCUAAAAAUGUCAUAGUAGCAUGUCGCUCUAAAAACGUCAUAGUUUAGCAUGUCGCUCUAAAAACUUCAUAAUAUAGCAUGUCGCCCAAAAAAGUCAGAGUAUAGCAUGUCGCUCUAAAAAUGUCAUAGUAUAGCAUGUCGCUCUAAAAACAUCAUAGUAUAGCAUGUCGUCCAAAGAACAUCAUAGUAUAGCAUGUCGUCCAAAGAACAUCAUAGUAUAGCAUGUCGUCCAAAGAACAUCAUAGUAUAGCAUGUCAGUCUUGAAACGUCAUAAUAUAGCAUGUCGCUCUGAAAAUGUCAUAGUAUAGCAUGUCGCUCUAAAAACAUCAUAGUAUAGCAUGUGGCUCAAAAAACGUCAUAGUAUAGCCUUUGGUCCACAAAACGUUGUUUUGUCCCGGCCGUCUGAAGUAGGUGAGGAGCAACACAAAAACAGUCCAAAUGCUGGUUUCCAGAGGGUUAGACGAGUAUUUAUUUGAAAGAGUAAGUUUACAACAACACAACAUGUGAGGGAGUUAAAAGCAAAUGGGUGUUAGUAAAAUAAAAAUAAAUAAACAGAACUAAAAGUGAACUUCAUGUUGACAUUGAUGGGCAUUCCAACCAGGAACAAUGUAAAAGAUAAUCAAUACGAAAAAAAAAACUCUUCCUGUUCACCUCUUAAAACCCAAAAACACACCGCAGUAGCACCCUAAACUAAAACUACCAAUGGGUUUCCUGUUUUCCUUUGUGAACAAUUCAAAGGUCCCUCUCUAUCUCCCCACACAUCCACCAACCACUGGAACACAUCUCCAAAGUUCUGCUGGGCCAGCUCAGCUUCCCCUCAGAAGAAGUGCUGCCACCUGCCAGAUGAAGGAGCCUUUUGAGAGGCAGCUGGCAUCGUGAUUGGACUGUACUUUGGUCUGUUCCAAUCCAGCUUCAGCUCCAGAGAUGGCAGGCGGGACGAGUCAACGGAGGCCGGGUGGACGAAGGCAUGGAGCUGGGAACAAUCCAGAAAACAACAGAGGAGGAGUGCAGCGACCCAGUAUAGCUUUCGACAUCCACCAACCACUGGAACACAUCUCCAAAGUUCUGCCGGGCCAGCUCAGCUUCCCCUCAGAAGAAGUGCCGCCACCUGCCAGAUGAAGGAGCCUUUUGACAGGCAGCUGGCAUCGUGAUUGGACUGUACUUUGGUCUGUUCCAAUCCAGCUUCAGCUCCAGAGACGGCAGGCGGGACGAGUCAACGGAGGCCGGGUGGACGAAGGCAUGCAGCUGAGUACAAUCCAGAAAACAACAGAGGAGCAGUGCAGCAGCCCAGUAUAGCCUUCAGUAUGAAAAAACACCAUCAUAUACAUCGUAUAUUGUACAAAUAAGUCAAAGGAAAGAGACAUACAUUGUAGAAUUGUAGUAAUUGUGGGCUGACUGAUUUACUGAUUAUCAGUAUUUUAUUUUUUACUGAUUUAUGGUAAUAAAUACAUUUAAAAAUGG